AAAACCGAUUCAAUUUUUUUUAUCACACCACAUUACGAACUCAGACUUAGAGACGGUUUUAAACUUAUUGAAUUGCCCUCAACCGUAACGCUUCAGAUCAGGGAUACAAACAGAUCUUAAAUUUCGAGUAUUAUUUCAAUGAUGUUUCAACAGCAAUAAGAAAUAAUUUUUUGAAAGUAUUAAUUCAUUUUAUAGAAUAUAUGUACUAGACUUAAAAUUUUCAUUGUAAUUGUGAUUUUUUGGACUUGAUUUUCACCAUCAAUAUGUGAUGGUAAACAAUACACAGCAUAUAGAAAUGUAGCGGAAUCCAAAUGCUAUGCAACAAGUGUUUCAUGAUGGAUGUUUAUUUGUAUGUUCUGCCAACAUUGUUCUUCUGGUUCUAAUUAAUUGGUGAAAGAAAAUGGGACAGACUUUGUUUAUUUUUAAAGUUCUCAGUGAUCAUCAUAUUUGGCUUUUUACUCUGAGUUGAAGCAUACGAAGUAUCAGCUAUUUCGUACAUUAUUCAGGUAAUUUCUUUUUUAU